CAAACUGAAGACAACAACAGUGACGAGAGUGAAACAGUGACAGCUAAUCUGACAGUAGUAGUGCUGACCACAGUAGUGUCUCUGUGUGUCCUCAUAUCACUGAUCGUCUGUGUCAUUCUUUAUUUCCAAAAACAAAGGCCCAUAAUUGACAGCCAAAUUGAUUUGAACUGCCAGUCUUCAGUGAAUUAUUCUGACAUUUCUGGAGUGGUGGAUGUCCCGUUGUAUUCUUCAGUCAAACGUCAAACAAACCAUGGUCACCUCUGGUGUGAACAAACAGAAGCUCCUGCAUGUAAUCCAGACAACAUCUAUGAUAAUAGAAUGCUG